AACGAACGCUGGCGGCAUGCCUAACACAUGCAAGUCGAACGAGACCUUCGGGUCUAGUGGCGCACGGGUGCGUAACGCGUGGGAACCUGCCCUUAGGUUCGGAAUAACUCCCCGAAAGGGGUGCUAAUACCGGCUAAUGUCUUCGGACCAAAGAUUUAUCGCCUUUGGAUGGGCCCGCGUUGGAUUAGCUAGUUGGUAGGGUAAAAGCCUACCAAGGCGACGAUCCAUAGCUGGUCUGAGAGGAUGAUCAGCCACACUGGGACUGAGACACGGCCCAGACUCCUACGGGAGGCAGCAGUGGGGAAUAUUGGACAAUGGGCGAAAGCAUGAUCCAGCAAUGCCGCGUGAGUGAUGAAGGCAUUAGGGUUGUAAAGCUCUUUUACCCGGGAUGAUAAUGACAGUACCGGGAGAAUAAGCUCCGGCUAACUCCGUG
rnacentral:rRNA from 1 species